UUUUAUCUAUGUGUCUGUGCACUUACAUGUGCCAUCAUCCCCCGCCACUAUCUACAAGACCACAAACCUUUAGGGAAAGAAUAUUACUGACAUCAGGAGAUUUGAAUCUACGUUGCCAAUCACCUUGGUAAUUUUGACUAUUUCUGGUCUGGCUUCCACUGGUUACAAUUGGAUUGUUACCACUUUUAACUCAGGAUGGAAAGAGGACAAGGGGCCCUUUGAGAGCAGGCUGGGGUGGGGGAGGGAGCAACAGCCUUGCCAAGUUCUUGCUGUCCUGCUUGCGCUUGGGUGACCCACCCUCUCUCCAGCCCCCAGUGCCUUUCCAGGAAACUUGUUGAGCCCUUGUCCAUUGUGUGAGGGUCAGCUAGUUAAAGUCAGAUAAGAGCACCCAUAAAUCCACUGCAGGAACAGAUGUAAAUAUGUUACAACGUGCUAACAGUGAGGGAGGAGGCAAGGAGCCCCUGUCGAUUUCAUGGAACCCCCUCACCCCAUUUCCCUAGGACCCUCCCUGACACAGGCAACAUGCACGGCAUAGGGGCUAAGGGCAGGCACCAGGGUCAACCCAUACAGUAAAUAUUCGAGAAGCUCAAAUUCUUUUUUUUAAAAAAAAACGCUUAUAAAUAGAGGCUUCGAUUUUUUUCCUCCUCUCCCAGUGGAUCAUCUUGCAUAAUCCCAGGGCUCAAAAACCCUAGUUUGAGAACUUCUAGUGUAUACAAAAGGUCUGCGUCCAAAUUCCUCAUUUUGUGUAAAGGUCCCGCCAAAGAAGAUGUCUUGUAAAUUUCUCAUAAUCGGGGCUAUGGAGGAUUUAUGUUCCCAGCACGAGGCUGGCGUGGAGCAGAUGCUCAGUAAAUAUUUGUGGAAUUAAUAGCUGGUUCCCCAAACACAUACAGCCUCCUCUCUGGGCUGUGAAUGUUCUUUUCCCCCUUAGAGCCCGGACUCUUUCACUUAGCAAGUCCUUGUUCAGCCUCAUAAGCUCAACUCAAAUGUUACCUCCUCUGGGGAGGCUGCCCCGACCUCGGGCUCUGUUUGUUCUUUCAGUACAGCAUCUUCCUGCGGAUCAGAGGGUGAGGUCUGGGCCAGGUCACCCCCACCCACCCAGUCACUCGCCACCCACCUCUCCACCCUGGUCAAGAGAUGUGGAGGCAGGGAAGGAACUUCAUCUGAGUGUCCCCAGUGCCCAGCACACUGUAGGUUCUCAGUCAAUGUCUGAUGAAUCAGAGAUUCACAGAGCCAGGAAUGAGGUCAAGGGAUGGUCCAGGCCAGAGACUUCCAGGCUCAAGAACUUUGGUUCAGGGCACCAGGCAGGGAGAGGAUGAGGGCCAAGGGAGAUGGCGUGGGGGAACAUCCAGGACCAUGUCUGCAUGGUGAACCUCAUGAAGUCUGCUCACUGAUGGCAUUCCAUGCGAGACACGAAGCCUACUUGGAGAAGUAGGGACCCCGGGCGAGGGAGUGAGCACUGGAGGCACCGUGGCGGCACCUGCAACCCCAUGGAGGCCAGGGAGUCUCAAGGAGCCAAGCAACCUCUCCCCCAAGCAUCGCUCUGCGGCCAAAAGCACUCAGUCAAGGGAGAGGCACCAGCACCAUCAUUAGAUGAUGGAGUGGGGGACCUGCCAAAGCCCGGACAAAGGCAAUCUAAAAGCAUUCCUGCUUCCAACUGGGUCAACCCAACGAACUCACUUGUUAAUGGACCCCCAUCAACACCGGCAGCCACAAAGAAGCCUCAGCCACCCCCAACCCCUCCCCCAGGGGGCCCUUCUGGUCCUGCGCCAGCAUCCUGCACCAGCUUGGGUCCCAGGCCGGCCCGCCCGGUAUGGGCUGUGGCCUGUUAGGCCAGUCACCUCCGUUCUGCAGCCAUCAUGGGAACCGGAAGACGGAGCCUGCAAGGCUCUUAGGACGACAGCAGCCACGGUACCCACUGCAGGUAGCACAAGGCAAAACACGAAGUGCAAAGCCAGAGAGAACAGGUCUCCUCCUUUUCUCCAUCCUCCCUGGCCCUGUGGACCAAGCAGUGAUUGAGGCUUUCUCCAUCUUUCACCUCAACUACUACGACCAAUUCUUCCCCACCUCCCUCCUCUGCCCUGUGCCGCUGCCAGAAUCAUCUUCCCCUGUGGCAGGAGUUGGGUUUUCAGCCACUUUUACCCAAGCAGCAUUUAAGCGCCUUUCGCGUGCACGUGCCAAACUGGGGCUGCAGGUAUAAAGAUACGCGCGGCCCCUCCUAGGAAGUGCUGCGCAGGAUCCCUAAGUACUUAAGGCUGUUGUACAAGGUCACUAAGCUGGGACUCGAACUGGUCACCACCCCAUCUCCAUCGCCCCUCGCUUGCCCCCCCUUCCCUCCCAGUGCACCUUCAGCACAAGGACUAGCAGCAGAAGUCCCAGCAUAAAAAAGGCUGUCCAGGGGCGAUGACAGAAACAGGCAGAGGAUAGGACUCAAACAUCUCCAACCAUCCGGCUCAAUGGCUUUGGUGGAGGAAGUGCCUUUUGAGGGGGCAGGGGGGUCACUUCCCUGCUCAGUAUUUCCCUUUAGGUGGCAAUGUGAGCAAGCUCAGAGCCUCCCCCCGCCCAGGAGGGCCUCCCCCCUGCCCAGGAGGGCCUCCUCCCCCAGCAUGCCUACCUCAGGAGAAACCAGCCCAGGACCCCAGACAAACAGCCAGCUGGUACUGGUCCAGCCUGGACUUGAAGGCCAAGAGCAAGAGCCAGCACAGCCCCAAGCCUCAGCCCGAGACCACCAGUCCCAGGCUGCGAGAAAAAAAGCCCACCCCCAAUGUGCAAUGGCCACAUUGCCUACCCCCUCCCCCAGACAUCAUCUCACCCGGAUGCAGGAUGCUUGGUGUAGCUGACGUGGUACAAGUUACACUGGGGCAAAAAAAAAAAGCCAGAGCCAAAUAGGAGUAGACAAGUGAAUUUGCUACAAUAAAUGUAAUCUAGGUCAAGGAUCAAAACUCCUGUCCACAGAGGACACGAGCUGCCAGGACUUAGCUGUUCUGUGUGUAUAAUCCUCAAGGACACAGGGCAACUCUAGAGGAAAGAGGAAGAACACAGAGAAGAAAAAGACCUGGGAGCUGCCGCUGUGUUCCUUUCCUGGUGCGACAGUGACAAAGGCCCACAAAUGAGGUGGGUUAAUCGAUAGAGACCUAGGGUUACAUAGUUCUCGAGGCUGGAGGUCUGAAAUUAAGAUGCUGGCAGGGCCAGGCUCCCUCUGAAGCCUCUAGGGGAGGAUCCUUCCUUGACUCCUCCAGCUUCCGGUGGCCCCAGGUGUUCCUCCACUUGUGGCUGCACCUCCCCAUCUCUGCCCACCCCCCCAUAUCAGUCUUCCCCCAAUCCCUCCGUCUUCACAUCUUCUUUCCUCUGUGCAUAUCCAUCCCUGUCUCUUCUAACGAAUCGUGUUGGAUUCAAGGCCCAUCCUUCUCCAACAGGACCUAAUCUUAACUAACAACAUCUACCUACGCGGACCCUGCUUCCCAAUAAGGUCGCAUUCUGAGCAUGCGGGUGAACAUGAAUUCCUAGAGGACACUAUCCAACCCAGCAAAAAGCUAUCCUGCCCGGUUGUCAACAAAAGGCAGAAGAAGAAAGUACCAUGUGAAGGGGUUUGGGACGGGUCAGUUCCAGGUGGACGUCUUAGUGGCCCCGGCCAAGUCACUCCGCUUCUCUGAGCCUCAGUUCUCUGAUCAACUGCACAAGGUCAUUUUGAAGGUCACGUAAGAAAAAGCUUGGUUACCGCAAAGCUCUGUACCGGGAAACACGGGUGAUGUUUCCCUCAACGAUGCCAGGUAAGACACCACCGAUACUCUGCCUGCCUCCUUUCUAGGUCCACGGUUCCUACAUUCCAGAAUACCCUCUGCAACUGUGGGACCAAUCUCGCAUGAGCCACGAGCCAGCUCCCUGGGUGAACUGGGAGCACCUGUCCUGAUCACACGAACAAGCAUUUGCCAACGUACCUCUGCAGAAAGUCAAAGCUGGAUCAUGUUGUGAUUCAGGGCUUCUAGACGGCACCCUUAAGCAGCUGGGCCACAGGGAAUCGGGGGUGUUGUCCUGUGAAGCCUCCGCCUGGUUCACAGAGGCAGUGAGGUGCAGAACGAGCCCAGAGAAGGAGCCCAGCACAGCAUGAACAAAGCCCAGCGAAGCUCUCAGAACCGAGAGGGGGCGCAGCUGCGGGACAGUCCAGCCCUUCCCCGAGCGGGGCGGAGGGAUCUACAUCCGGGUCCUGGAAAUUCACAAGGCCUUUACUCAAGCUAGUCACUUACCUCGCCUGCCUGCGCUCAGGGGGGGGCGGAGCCUCCCGACCCACGUUGCUCCCCCAAGUUCCCCACCCGCGUUGCUCCCCGGUGUUCCCAGCCACCUUGCAGCGCAGACCGUGAAGAGACUCAAAAGGGGUAAGGGUCCCUCCCUCACCCACAUAACUGGCAGAAGAUGCGGCUGGAACGUGAGUUACCAACACGCACUGUUCAUGAAGCUUUAAAGAAUGAACGACGUGCACAGAAUACAGGGCCCACGAACUUCCCGGGAGAGGUCCCAACAGAAGGGUCUGUCACUGAAACCGAGCUCAAAUUACUCGGGCUCAGAGGAAAGAACCAUAGGCUCUGCUGGCUGGAAGGAACCCCAGAGGUUCAUCGAUGGCAAGCUCCAGUCUCUAAAUUCAGCUCACUCCAGAAAUAACAGCCUCUACCCACUCCCAAGCGUGGGAAGAGAUCGGGAACAGCAUUUCUGAAACUUCAAGGUGAUGCACGGAUGCUGGUGGCUCCACAGACACACCUGGAGCAGGAAGGAUCUGGAAGGCCUGCUGCCCUCAGAAGCUCCUGCUUGCAUAGCAGGCGUGCAGGGCGUGGGCAGACUGAGCUUCCCAAGGUACAAGCUAUGUAUUUUUUCCAACUACGGAUCGAACCACAGUGCUGUGUACCACCACAGAAAAUAAUUGUUGGAUGGAUGAGUGGAUGGUUGCCGAUACGAAGGUCGAAUGUGCCAUCAGAACAACUGGCAAAUUAAUACACUGUCCUAAAAAUUGCAUAUCCAAGUAAAAAUGUCCUGGGGGAAAAUGAAGGAAGAGGGAAGGAAGGCAGGAGAGAAAGAGGGAAAGAGGGAGGGAGGGAGGGAGGGAGGAAGAAGAGGUCGAGUGGGGAGCUAAGGCUGCCCCUGGACGAAUGGGGGGGGGGCCCAGUGGUAGCCCCCUGCCGGGGCCCUGGGAGGUGUGGGCUCCCUGCUCACUCCAGCCUCUGUGCCUCCCCCUGUAGAUUCUGCAAGCCUCUUCCCCAGGUAUCACAACAUCCCUGUCUCUCCUCGGGCUCCCAGACGCACCUGGAAGCUGGGCCCAGAGCUGAGCCAGCAGGGUUGAAUAAUCCUCCCUCCAACACGUCACACCCAGCAGCACUCUUGUUCAGCGCUCUUUCCUGUUCAUCACCUGAGUGCCCGGCAAGGCGAUUCAAAACCUGGGGCCAGAUGUUUAGACUGGCAUAUAGAGGAUUCCAGCCCAGGGAAAGCCUGUGCAGGAUGGCCCAUCGGCCCCUCAUUAUCUGACUGUGGAAGUUCUUUUGAAAAGGGAGGCACCUGCCUAGGUCUUUGCAGCCUGUCCCUUGAAGCCACCUGUUCUAAGGUCAUAGCCACUUCACUCCAGACUUCCAAUUCUAAAGCCUGCUGCCCUAACAUGCACCCCAAUGUUUAAAGCAGCACUAAUGACAACAGCCAAAGUAUGGAAAGAACCCAAAUGUCCAUCGACUGAUGAAUGAAUAAAAAGAUGUGGUACACGUAUACAAUGGAAUAUUACUUGG